rnacentral:lncRNA from 10 species
CUACUACACACAGUUACUUCAAAGAAAACAAGCCCUACACAAUUGAAUCCCAAUCAAAGUCAUCCUGGAUGUCAUCUGGAGGCAGGGAACGCCGCAUCUGGAAGGCUUGGGAAGGCAUCAUGUGCUGCUGGUUCAUGGCUCUGUGAUGGCCUGGAAGGAAAGAGGCAAUAAUAGCAGCGACUUGGGUAGAGAAGAAAGUAAGAAAUAAACUAACCCCUACUGUGUACUUCCUAUAUGCCAGGCACACAUUAUCUCACUAAUUCAACCAUAAGCCUUCAAAAAGUGGCUCUUAUGAUCCUUAUUUUAUAGGUAAGGGGAUACGGUUUAAGAGGAUGAGUAAAUUACCCAAAGUCACACAACCAGUAGGGGACAAAGAUAGGAUCUGAGGUCAGUUCACUUGAUCCACACUCCUUCCAUUAUACCAGGCUGCAGUAAGGAAGACACGAGAAAAGUGCCAAUGUAGCCACUGCUCUUACAGUCUGUUUUGCUCCAAUACGUUGUUUCAGUAACAUGAAUUGGCUCCCAUGAGAAUGGUAAACAGGAUAAUGAUGGCAGUGCACCAAUGACGUCAUACUGAAUUUUCCCCAGCAAGCUAAUUUCUGUGCCACCAAGUAAUGUCAAGUGAACACAGAGGACAUCAACAAGGGAACACAGGAAACCAGAAGGAACCACAGCUGAGUACAGAAUGCCCACCUUCCCAUGCUCUUCUUGUACCAGUUUGGCCAUGUGCUGUUUAUGCUCCCCAAUUUUGAUUCAUUGGGUCUGUGUCUCCACCGUAUCUUGACAGACCCCCCCCUUCUAAACCAGCUGCUUUUUAAAAGUAGAGGUUGAUAUUUACUUGUAGAAUUCUUUCUUUUAUUACAAAUUAUACAUAUCCUUUUAACUGUUGUGGAAGUUUUACUGGAUUUUUUUUUAGUACUCUGAUUACAAAAUUUCAAGUAGUCUGCUACUCAUUUUUCUCAUAUGCCCUGAAAUAUUUUCUUGUACAAUUAUUUAAUGCUAAGGUUUUCAGUAUAUCACAAUAUAGGUAAAAUGCCUCCAUUUAAAAAAAACUUAUAAGUUCCUUAAUGUGGGUCAGGCACUAAUUUACAUGAUUCUCAUUCAAUCCUAACAACUCGAGGACACAGGUAGUUUUAUUAGCCCCUUUUACAAACAGGGAAGCUGAGGUAGGAGGGUUAGGUAGCUUGCCUAAUAUCACACAGCCAUUAAGUGGCAAAGCAUGAAGAUUCAAACACAAGCAAUCUGGCUCCAGAGCCUUACCACCUUAUGGUGCCACUUACAAAUUAGUAGUAAGCACUCACAACAGGUUAACAUUCCUUCCCCCUUCAGCAAAGGACAUAUCACUUGAUCCCAACUCCUUCCUCACUGCUGUCUGCCACACAGUUCUUCAAGGUUUUAAAUCCACCCCCAACCCCAUUACCUUUAUGUCUUUUCCUCAAAUAGCCUAAGUAAAGGAUUGUGUGGUAUGUGAGAAAAACAACGGACUCUGAAUCCAGACACUGGGGCUUGAGUCUUGAUCUGGCCACUCACUAAACUGGGUGGCCUGGGCAAGGCAUUUCUCCUUCAGAGCCUCCAUUAUCCUAAGUGAUCUUUAAGAUACUUUCCAGCUCUAACAAUGUGCCGUAUUCCGCUGGCUAAAUGAAUCCUGCAUUCAAGAACCCAGCGGGAAAAGUGUAUGAACCACUUAACACCUAAAAUUUACCUUCUCUACAAGGUACUUCCCUGGAAACUAUAGCUGGGGGAACUCCAUAGGAAUGAAUGAAGCAGAAUCUACAGGAGCUAAUAAAGUAGGUUCCUAAAACCUGCUAAAGUCCUGUCAAACACCCUCAACUAUGACCCCAGGACUUCUUAGAGAGGCAAGACAAUAAAUAACUAGAAUAAGUAGAAUCAUUGCAUCUUGGGCUAAUAAGGACUUCAGGUCCUACAGUCCAAACUCCAACUGAUGCUUGAAUCCCUUUGCUAGCACAAGUGCCAAGUGGCUGUCCAGACAUUGUCCCCUAGCCCCUCUUAACAGGGAGUUCACUCCUUGAGGCAGCCUCAUUCACCAUCGGGAAAGCUAACGCUUCUCAAUAUUAAACUCUGGGUAACAACUGACACACACACAUGCUUCUCAAUAUUAAACUCUGGGUAAUAACUGACACACACACACACACUCUCUCUCUCACCUGCCAUCGUUGUUCCUGGAGUGCUCACACACACACACACACACACACACACACUCACUCUCUCUCUCUCUCUUACCUGCCAUCGUUGUUCCUGGAGUGCUGAGUGCCUGUGGGAUAUGAGGAUAACCAGGGGGUGGCAUCACUGAAGGAGGGAGAUUUUGCCUAGAAUCUAUGUACAAAUUUCCUAAUCAGAUUAAAAGCAGAAAGAGGGAAAACAUGUUACCACAAAUAAAACAAAUGGAGCACUAAAAUCUUAACAGAAUUGUUACUCUGAAAGUAAAUUAAGCAGGUAAAAUAAGGAGAAAGGGGGAAGAAAAUAUUACUCCUUUCAGAUGCUAAAAUUGUGGUCUUGGCCUUUUGAACAGGGUGCCAGGCCGGGUGUGAACACACUGAACUAAUGCUAGCGCUGCCACUAACUGUACGCUGGUAGGCAAGUUAUGUCUAUUAUUGUUGCUAUCACAUACCUCAUUACAAUUCAAAAGUAUUUUUGUAUCCAUUACUUCAUCUGACCCUCCCACUAAGCCCCAAAGGAGGGUAAGACAGGGAUUGUUACACCCAUUUUACAGAUGAGGCAACUGAAACUCAGAAAGGCUAACCUGACUUGCCCAAAGACACAUUAGUUUGACAGUGCUAGGACUACAAUCCAGAUCUCCUAACUCAUGGACUCUCUUUUUUGAGACAGGGUCUCACUCUGUCACCCAGGCUAGAAUGCAGUGGCGCAAUCUCGGCUCACUGCAACUUCUGCCUCCUGGGUUCGGGCGAUUCUCCUGCCUCACCCUCCCAAGUAGCUGGGAUUACAGGCGUGCACUACCACGCCUGGCUAAUUUUUGUAUUUUUAGUAGAGAUGGGGUUUUACCAUGUUGGCCAGGCUGAUCUCAAACUCCUGACCUCAAGUGAUCCACCUGUCUCAGCCUCCCAAAGUGCUGGGAUUAUAGGCAUGAGCCACCGCACCCAGCCACUCAUGGACUCUUUCUACAUCACCACCUAUUUCUCUACUUCCCUGAUGUUCUCACCCUCGAAGCAGGCCUAACUAUGUGUAACCAUGUGUGCCCCUGUUAAUUAACAAGUACCUGGGAAGCACAAAGUAACAAUAAAGAUCUGCACAUGGUAAAAGAGCUACAACAAGCAAUGAUGAUUAAAAACAUUAUUCUGGGCAAGGCAUGGUGGCUCAGGUCUAUAAUCCCAGCACUUUGGGAGGCAGAGGCGGGCAGAUCACCUGAGGUCACGAGUUCAAGAUCAGACUGGCCAACACGGCAAAACCCUGUCUCUACUAAAAAUACAAAGAAUUAGCUGGGUGUGGUGGCAUGAGCCUGUAGUCCCAGCUACUCAGACUUGAACCUGGGAGACGGAGGUUGCAGUGAACCGAGAUUGUGCUACUACACUCCAGCCUGGUUAAUAGAGUGAGACCCUGUCAAAAGAGAAGAGAGAGGAGAGCGGAGAGGGUGGAGCGGAGGGGGCGGGGCGGGGUGGGGGAGGGGAGGGGAGGGGAGGGGAGGGGAGGGGAGGGGAGGGGAGGGGAGGGGAGUAUUAUCCUAGAAUGUGAGGAUGGGGACCAUGGAUCUCAUUCAAAUUUUACUUCAGAAGGUUCUUAAUAUAUUUUCAUUAACAGGAGACAUCAAGUGUUAUCGCCUCCAAAAUGUCAACUACGUUACAUCACAAUGCAAAAGAGAGAACAAACAUGACCCCUCCUCCAAUAACUCAUGAGGAAUGAUUAUAAAAGCGGUUCACAUUGUAAGGAACAUCUGGAAUUCUGGAAAGGCUACUUCCCUAAGUUUAUCUACUAUUUCAUGUAAAUUACACUUGAAUUCUAGUAAUGUUGUAAUGAAACUAAAAAAUAGUAAUCAUUUUCCCAGAGGAAACUAAAAAGAGUAGAAAAAAUCUUCCACUUCUAUUAAGGUAAGGCAUUCUGUAUUUGGCUGCUCACAAGUCUUUACCCUCCAGUGGAAAGCCAGACUAUCCAGGCUUGAGAUGGCCUCAGAGAUAAUCUAAUCUGACCUUACCUCUGUCCAUGCAGAUAGGGAAACAGGGACAGAGGAAAUGAGACAGAACCAGGACCAGAAUUCAAGACUUCUGACCCCCUGUCCCUGCCUCCCAUGAUAACAUGCCUUUUAUCAGUGAAGUUUAUAGUCAGAACUGACCUCUUUGACUGACUGACCAUACUGAUGAUUUAGAAAGAAAAAAGAGGAGAAAAGUUAUACUAAACUACAGCUCUAAUACUGGUACGAGUGACGUGGGGCGGAAUCCUGUCUCCAAAUGCUGAUCGGUCUUCACAUGCACGCCUAGUGUACUUUGUAAAGACUGCACCAAGCUGGAAGGGCCACACCACUCAGAGUAAUAGGGUCACUCAUAUACCCACAACUUCCCUGUCUCUGUCCUUCAAAAUCUUAGCUCUCACUCUACACAUCUUUCGAGUUCAUGUCAUAAUGAAAAUGUAAAACUGAUUUUUAUUGGGAAUUAAUCUUUUACCACUUCUCUUUUAUGGCUUCGUAAUUCUUACCUUAAAGGCAGAGGGGAGAAAGAAUUACAGGAUUAUGACAAUAAACAAACAUCUACAUAAAAGUCUUAACUUUCUGUAAUUCCAUCAUAUGCGUAACACUUUUAUUUUCAUAUAGAAAUUCCCAUUAAUUCUCAUUUUUUCCCAUAUUCUCAAUAUAGAGUCUGAAUGAGUGUAUUCCUGAAUUUCCUAUGUAAGAAAUUAACUUCCAAUGCAGUUUCCAAAGAUUUCAGGCACUGCUCGAGGCACUAUGGAUACAGCAAUGAAAAAACACAACUCUGCUUUUCGGGUGUGUAUUCUUGGGCAUGUUGGGUAGGGGCAAACAAAGUAAAUUAAAUAGUAUGUAACAUGCUAUGGAAAAAAAGCAGAGAGAGAGAACAAGGACUGCUGAGUAGUGGUGCCAUUUAAAUAGGAUGACCAAGGAAGGCAUCCCCUGAGCAGGUGUUUUUUGAGGAAAAACAACGGAACAAGAUGAGGAAAUGAGUCAUGUGUCUAACUGAGGGAAGACCACUCUGGACAAGAGGAAAUAGCAAGUACAAAGGCCCUGUUUAGGUAGAGUGUGCUACCUAGUGUGUUCAAAGAACACCAGGGAGACCAGCAGUGUUGAAGCACAGGCGUGGAGGGGAGAAGGCAGAAGACAAGAUCAGAAAUAAUCAGUGAUCAGAUUGUGUAGGCCAUAUAGGCCAUAGUAACAACAUUGGUCUUUACUGAGAAAGAUGGAGGGUUUUGAGCAGAAAACAGACGUGACAUGAUCUGACCUCUCUGUCUUGCAAAAUCCUACUUAACCUACAAAGUCCAGCUUAAAUAUGCUGUCUUCUAGAAAAAUUUUCCAUCUUUCCAAGAGAAGUAUGCACCCCUUUCUCUGAAUUCUUAUUGCACUUAAACCCUAUGGAGAAGUGUAGCCCUCAACAUACUGAAUUUUUUUUUUUUUUUUUUUUUUUGAGAUGGAGUCUCGCUCUGUCGCCCAGGCUGGAGUGUGGUGGCGCGAUCUUGGCUCACUGCAAGCUCUGCCUCCCUGGUUCAUGCCAUUCUCCUGCCUCAGCCUCCUGAGUAGCCGGGACUACAGGCGCCUGCCACCACGCCUGGCUAAUUUUUUUGUAUUUUUUUAGUAGAGACGGGGUUUCACCAUGUUAACCAAGGUGGUCUCGAUCUCCUGACCUCAUGAUCCGCCUGCCUCGGUCUCCCAAAGUGAACAUACUGUAUUUCUUGAUGGAUCUGUCUCAACCACUAGGUUGUGAACUCUUUUAGGUAAAAGCUACUACAGGGGUCAUGUCUUUAUUCUCAGUGCCCAAUACAAAGCUAGACACAGAAAAGGUGUCUAGUGUGUGCUCAAUGACUGCAUUCCUACCUAUAUUUAAUGAUGACCUUUAAGCAACGCAUCAAAUUAGAAUAGUAGAGCCAGAAGAUAUAAACAAAUUAUAACCACAGGUAAAAAGAUUUAGGAAAAGAUGUCAUAGACUGUGUUCUAUAACAACCUUCUCCCCUUCCCCCUUCCACACUAGCACACUACACCACUAAUUUCUGGAGUCUACAGGAAGCUCAUGGAGGUGUUUACCAAGCGGGUCCUUGAAGACAGGAAUGACAGGAAAGGUUUAAGGAAAUGGAGAGACUAUAUUCUGGGACUCAAGACCUACACCUAAAUGAAUUUUACAACAUUGGGUAAGUCACUUUCUCCCCCUGGAUUACAAUGUCCUUAUCUGUUAAAUAAAGGGAUAAAAUUAACAGCUCUCUGAAAGUCUCCUCUUGACUAUACUUCUAAGAAAUUAUGACAAAGAAUUACUGGGGUGCAGAGAUGAGGGAAGUAAAAGAUCUGAAUGGAUGUGAUACACAGGGAUGUAAGACAGAGAAAAAAGGAAUGACAGAAAGACACUGACACUUAAAACAAGAGGAAGCAGGCUGGACACGUAAAAAAAAUCUGAAUAUUUGUGAACAGACAUCAGCAGGCAUGAAGUGAUGAAUACUUGGAGCACCAUAAUUGAUGAGAGAACAACUGUUGUCAGAGGCCAAAACAGCUUGGCAGGCAUGAGUCAGAAGGAAAAUACAAAAGGGGAGUGAGAGUAGAAAGAAUUGAAUAAACACUGAAGAAAAACUAUAGUUUUUCUACCUUUGAUAGGCUGUGACUAGGGUAGCACUGAGAAUCACGAAGGUGUCAUCGGGACCCUAGAAAGGAGGAGGGCCCUAACAAAAGAGAUGACAGAAAAAAUUAACAGAAUCACAGAACACCAGAACAAAUAACCAAGGUCAAGGCUCAAGAAUAGAUGACUACAGAAGUUGAGGAACAAAGGGCUUCAGGAAAAUAACUCAGGAUCUCAGUCUAGAGAGAAUCUAGAAGGAGUGCCUGGGUACUCUGACAGAGGACAGCAGCAGAUAAAGUGUUUUUUCCAUGACAAAACUACCAAGUUCCAAGACCAAAAGGUACACAUAGACCUUUCUUACAGACUUAGGGCACAAAACUGAAAUUCACCAACAUGAGAGCUGCUGCCUAACAUGUACACUGGCUUUUGAGAUUGCCUUCUUCUUCUUCUUCUUUUGAGACGAAGUCUCCCUCUGUCACCCAGGCUGGAGUGCACUGGUGUGAUCUCGGCUCACUACAACCUCCGCCUCCCAGGUUCCAGCGAUUCCCCUGCCUCAACCUCCCGGGUGGCUGGGAUUACAGGCAUGUGCCACCAGGUCCGGCUAAUUUUUGUAUUUUUAGUAGAGACGGGGUUUCGCCAUGUUGGCCAGGCUGGUCUCGAACUCUUGACUUCAGGUGAUCAGCCCGCCUCGGCCUCCCAAAGUGCUGGGAUUGCAGGCAUGAGCCACCAUGCCUGGCCGAGACUGCCUUCUUCUAACACUGACCCACAUCAUCUUCUACUUCUCCUGCCUACGGCAACAAUCUAUGAGCAACACAGGUACUUACCCCCAAACACACAAGACUAGUGAUAUAUACAUAAGCUAUUUAAUUUCACUUAGUACUUUUUGAGGCUGACUGAAAUGGUUAGAGAUGGAGUUAGCAAAGAAGUGAACAGCAUGACAGCACUCAGAAGCAACAAUUUUGGAUGAACACAGAAAGAAAAGAGGAAAGGAGAAAAAAGGGACAAAAAACAGAGAGAGGUGGUACACCUGGUCUAAGGAGGACUUAAAGCAAGUUGGAAAAAUUAAAGUGAUAUAUCCUGAAAGGGACAAAGUAUGGGCUUAGAACCCAUGAGAGAAACAAAGAAGACACGCUGUCCAUCUGCAAGAAAAGAUUUUAAAAAAAGAAAUGGAAGAAGGGCACAUAAGUGAGGAUACCUGAAUUACAGAGAUCUUGAUGCUUAAAAAUGAAUAUAUAUCAGAAAGAUACCAAAAAGAACUAACAAAAGGAGAGAGAGAGAGAGACAAAGAAGCUAUAAAGUUAUCAAAAACUAAAUUUUAGUGUCUGGCACAGAGGGCAAUCAGCCAGGGACUGAACAAGGCCCUUGUGUGGAUGUAAUUUACUGAAUGAAUAGGUCACCAGAAUCAAAUAGUGACUGAAGGUUUCAGGCAAGGUAAGCUAUUCAAAAUAGCUUAGGAAAAGCUAUUCAACGUGGAAGAAGAAAAGAUAAUAGAUUUCCACUACAUCAAAGGAUACAGGAAUAAAGAUUUCAUGAAAAGAAAGACACAGACUGAUAAGCUUGACUUGAAUAAACUCAAACCAUGGGUGAACGAAAGAUGUGAAGUAAGAUAGAAUAAUGGUUAAAGGAAGCCACUCAGGAUAGAGAAGAGAGAGCUUGUUGGCAUAAAAUGUAAAAUCAAUAUAACAUACAGAAAAGAAGUAAACUUGAUGAUAAGAGAAGGUAAGGAAUUAAAAUGAAGAAAGAAGUAACUUGGAUAUGAAAUUCCUACAGAAAAAUGUGCAAUCAGAGUAGAAGACAUGGCUGCAAGGGUAAAGAAUGAAGGAAGAAAGCGAGAUUUAAAAAAUAUACAGGAAAGAUUUUGGGUCUAAAGUAAAACAUCAGUGAGACUAUUUUCCAUUACGUCUACUCUUCAAACACUUCGAAUUGUUCAAUUUUAACAUUCUUAGGAGAUACACAAGACACGUUGAUUUCCAUUGCAGAUCUGUACAAAUUUAAAUAUAAUUUCAUAAUUAUGUUCCUAUAAAAACGUAAGUAUCUCCAAUAUAUUUCUUGUUUGAUAACUUAGUAAAAGGAUAAUGGUUACAACAGUUAACUGUAAAUAAUAAAGCAAUCAUAUAAAUCACAACAGAAAAACAUAGUCUCAUUACCUCAAUUUUUCUAAGAUAUACCCUACAUAUAAAUUAUUUGCUUUCAUUCAUUUCUUAUAAAUAAAAAUUUGUAAACAGAUCACUGUCACCAUUAGCAGCAAACCAAGUUGGUUAAGACAGUUACUAAAUUUCGUACGAAUGAGAAAAUGAGAAAAAUCAAGAAGAUAACUAACCCCAUACCUGUUCCAAUGUGUUGGGAAGGUUUUGUUGGAUGCAUGGCACCAUGACAAACAUUUUGUUGAACAUUACUCUGUGAAUGUAUAAGGCCAGUUUG